CUAGCGAGACUGCCGGUAAUAACCGGAGGAAGGUGGGGAUGACGUCAAAUCAUCAUGCCCCUUAUGACCUGGGCUACACACGUGCUACAAUGGUUGGUACAACGAGUUGCGAGUCGGUGACGGCGAGCUAAUCUCUUAAAGCCAAUCUCAGUUCGGAUUGUAGGCUGCAACUCGCCUACAUGAAGUCGGAAUCGCUAGUAAUCGCGGAUCAGCACGCCGCGGUGAAUACGUUCCCGGGCCUU
rnacentral:rRNA from 1 species